UACGGAGGGUGCAAGCGUUAUCCGGAUUUACUGGGUUUAAAGGGUGCGUAGGUGGGCAGGUAAGUCAGUGGUGAAAUCUCCGAGCUUAACUCGGAAACUGCCGUUGAUACUAUUUGUCUUGAAUAUUGUGGAGGUAAGCGGAAUAUGUCAUGUAGCGGUGAAAUGCUUAGAUAUGACAUAGAACACCAAUUGCGAAGGCAGCUUACUACACAACGAUUGACGCUGAGGCACGAAAGCGUGGGGAUCAAACAGG
rnacentral:rRNA from 1 species